UUUAACAAGCACAUGAUAAAGGCCUCGGGUCAAACGUUUUGGACGUGGACAUCAUCACAGAGGACGUUACCGAAACAACCAUGAGCGUUUUGGGUAAAGGCGACCAACUGAUGAUGCGGGGUUUGGCCCAAACUCUUCGACCAAGCGCAGGCCCACAUUUCCCGUAGACCUAAAUCUGAUUCAAGACUUGUACAUGCACUUCAAUCUCAUGGAAGCCAACCUGGUCCUGGGUAGCAAGGUCAGCAAUGUGUUGCGUGUGCUGAUUCCCAAGAGCAUCCCUGGGAAACUUGUGAAUCGGAUUGUUCUAAACCCGUACGCAUGCAACUCAUCGUCGGUCAGUGCCGGCUCUAUAGUUCGAUGCAAGGGGAAGGGUCCAGAGAAGGUCUUUUGGUCUUUGGUAGCGUACAGGAUUGACGAUCAUCGAUUUUGUUGACCUUACACUGUGACGAUGGUGCGACCCAGCCAUGCAUGCCUAAGUAGAAGCACUUGUACUGUGAAACUGCGAAUGGCUCAUUAUAUCAUUUAUCGUUUAUUUGAUUGUACCUUUACCACUUGAAUAACCGUGGUAAUUCUACAGCUAAUACAUGCUAAAA